UCAGACAUAGUGUAGUGACUGGGAGCACUGCCUCAAAGCAUGGAAUAUAUAUAUCGCAACGCCGAGGAUAACCAGUCCGAGGCCGUCCCGGGUUCGAGUCCCGGUGUUUGAA